rnacentral:rRNA from 1 species
AGUGAACGCUGGCGGUAGGCCUAACACAUGCAAGUCGAACGGCAGCACAGUAAGAGCUUGCUCUUACGGGUGGCGAGUGGCGGACGGGUGAGGAAUACAUCGGAAUCUACUUUUUCGUGGGGGAUAACGUAGGGAAACUUACGCUAAUACCGCAUACGACCUACGGGUGAAAGCAGGGGAUCUUCGGACCUUGCGCGAUUGAAUGAGCCGAUGUCGGAUUUGCUAGUUGGCGGGGUAAAGCCCACCAAGGCGACGAUCCGUAGCUGGUCUGAGAGGAUGAUCAGCCACACUGGAACUGAGACACGGUCCAGACUCCUACGGGAGGCAGCAGUGGGGAAUAUUGGACAAUGGGCGCAAGCCUGAUCCAGCCAUACCGCGUGGGUGAAGAAGGCCUUCGGGUUGUAAAGCCCUUUUGUUGGGAAAGAAAAGCAGCAGGUUAAUACCCCGCUGUUCUGACGGUACCCAAAGAAUAAGCACCGGCUAACUUCGUG